rnacentral:rRNA from 1 species
UAGGGAAUCUUCGGCAAUGGACGAAAGUCUGACCGAGCAACGCCGCGUGAGUGAAGAAGGUUUUCGGAUCGUAAAACUCUGUUGUUAGAGAAGAACAAGGACGUUAGUAACUGAACGUCCCCUGACGGUAUCUAACCAGAAAGCCACGGCUAACUACGUGCCAGCAGCCGCGGUAAUACGUAGGUGGCAAGCGUUGUCCGGAUUUAUUGGGCGUAAAGCGAGCGCAGGCGGUUUCUUAAGUCUGAUGUGAAAGCCCCCGGCUCAACCGGGGAGGGUCAUUUGAAACUGGGAGACUUGAGUGCAGAAGAGGAGAGUGGAAUUCCAUGUGUAGCGGUGAAAUGCUUAGAUAUAUGGAGGAACACCAGUGGCGAAGGCGGCUCUCUGGUCUGUAACUGACGCUGAGGCUCGAAAGCGUGGGGAGCAAACAGG